rnacentral:tRNA from 1 species
CGAGGUAGCUCAGGCGGUAGAGCAGAGGACUGAAAAUUCUCGUGUCAGGGGUUCAAAUCCCUUCCUCGGC